rnacentral:rRNA from 1 species
ACUCAAAUGAAUUGACGGGGACCCGCACAAGCAGUGGAGCAUGUGGUUUAAUUCGAUGCUACGCGAAAAACCUUACCACCCCUUGAAUCCCAUUGACUGAUACAGAAAUGUAUUUUUGGAGCAAUCCACAGUGGAGACAGGUGUUGCAUGGCUGUCGUCAGCUCGUGUCGUGAGAUGUUAGGUUAAGUCCUUCAACGAGCGCAACCCUCAUCCUUAUUUGCCAUCAGGUUAUGCUGGGAACUAUAAGGAAACUGCCAGCGACAAGCUGGAGGAAGGUGGGGACGAUGUCAAGUCAUCAUGGCCCUUAUGGGGUGGGCUACACACAUGCUACAAUGGUGGUUACAGCGGGAAGCAAAGGAGCAAUCUGGAGCAAAUCCUAAAAAACCAUCUCAGUUCAGAUUGAGGGCUGCAACUCGCCCUCAUGAAGUUGGAAUUGCUAGUAAUCGUGGAUCAGCACGCCACGGUGAAUACGUUCUCGGGUCUUGUACACACCGCCCGU